rnacentral:rRNA from 1 species
UACGUAGGUGGCGAGCGUUGUCCGGAUUUACUGGGUAUAAAGGGCGCGUAGGCGGGUUUGUAAGUCAGAUGUGAAAUACCGGAGCUUAACUCCGGGGCUGCAUUUGAAACUGCAGAUCUUGAGUGUCGGAGAGGAAAGCGGAAUUCCUAGUGUAGCGGUGAAAUGCGUAGAUAUUAGGAGGAACACCAGUGGCGAAGGCGGCUUUCUGGACGAUAACUGACGCUGAGGCGCGAAAGUGUGGGGAGCAAAC